CAAGCUGUAGACAAAUGAUGGAAGGCUUAGAGGAGGAUGAGCUUCUGAAUCUUAGCCUGGCAAUUGUUACAGAUUCCGGUGGAGACAUGAAAAAGAAAAGGAAGAUAAGAUCUUUUUUCAAUCCAUUGAACUCCUAUGAAGAUUGUGAAGGGAAGAUUUUUAGGCUACUCCAAAUUAGAGAACAAAUGCUAAAACCAAAUCACAAAAGGAAAGGAGUGGCUGAAGAUGGAAAAGGUCUUCAUUUGAUCCACUUACUUCUCAUUACUGCAACUGCUGUUGAUGAGAACAAUUUAGGCACAGCUUUGGAGAAUUUAACUGAACUAUACCAAAGUGUGUCUUUAACCGGAGACUCUGCGGAAAGGGUUGUUGCUUAUUUUGCUGAUGGCUUGUCUGCUAGGCUUCUCACCCGAAAAUCUCCCUUCUACGGUAUGAUCAUGAAGGAGCCAACAAGUGAAGAAGAGUUUUUGGCUUUCACAGAUCUAUAUCGUGUCUCUCCUUACUACCAGUUUGCUCAUUUCACCGCCAACCAGGCUAUAAUAGAAGCAUUUGAG
rnacentral:misc_RNA from 1 species